rnacentral:rRNA from 1 species
UUAUAAGAGACAGCAGUAGCCGCGGGAAUACAGAGGGUGCGAGCGUUAAUCGGAUUUACUGGGCGUAAAGCGUGCGUAGGCGGCUUUUUAAGUAGGAUGUGAAAUCCCUGAGCUUAACUUAGGAAUUGCAUUCGAUACUGGGAAGCUAGAGUAUGGGAGAGGAUGGUAGAAUUCCAGGUGUAGCGGUGAAAUGCGUAGAGAUCUGGAGGAAUACCGAUGGCGAAGGCAGCCAUCUGGCCUAAUACUGACGCUGAGGUACGAAAGCAUGGGGAGCAAACAGGAUUAGAUACCCCGGUAGUCCCUGUCUCUUAUAC